rnacentral:snRNA from 1 species
GGAUGUGAGGAUUAUUAGCUGAGAUAUCUGUCUUCCAUUGAAUGCCAAGAUUGAUUUAGCUGAUCUGAUUGGCUAGGCAUAUGCCACUUACCUCCCUUACCACUCCAAGUGCAUCACUCCCAAAGCUACAUGCUCAUUCAAAUAGGAUGACUUUCCCCAGUAGAGAAGGGCUGUUCUUUGGUCAGUAGUAUACAGAUAGCCAUGUUCCUUAGCUAGAACCUCCAACAAGCUCUUACUGUCCACCAACAAAAAUUUUGAAAGUCUAUCAUAAGAGUUUGUAAGCUAAGUGCCAAGGAAAUGUCUAAAGAUAAGGACACCUUAUUGCUU